rnacentral:rRNA from 1 species
UACGAAGGGGGCUAGCGUUGCUCGGAAUCACUGGGCGUAAAGCGCACGUAGGCGGAUUCCUAAGUCGGUGGUGAAAUCCUGGAGCUCAACUCCAGAACUGCCUCCGAUACUGAGAGUCUCCGAGUCCGGGAGAGGUGAGUGGAACUGCGAGUGUAGAGGUGAAAUUCGUAGAUAUUCGCAAGAACACCAGUGGCGAAGGCGGCUCCCUGGCCCGGUACUGACGCUGAGGUGCGAAAGCGUGGGGAGCAAACAGG